UGUCUUUGUCUGGGUUUUGCUGCUUCUUUCUAAGAUGGCCUGGAAAACUCUCAUCUUCCUCAUUGCAUCCUUUCUUUUGUUCGCAACAACAGUAAGCCACUCCCUCUUCUAUAGAUUUUGCCUUUUUUAAGUUCCUGAUGGCUCAAACGCAUGAUUUACUAUUUGGGUUUUGUAGGCUUCAUCUAAUGAAGAGGAGAUCUUGUUGGAGACUGUAGCAAAGGCACCCGUCAAGGCACCUGCACCUGCACCAACACCAGUCAAGGCCCCACCACCAAUUCUUCCACCGGUGAGUACUACAGAGUGUCCACGUCUGUGUGGAGUGAGGUGUUCGCUGCAUUCGAGGAAGAGGCACUGCACAAGAGUUUGUAUGACUUGCUGCCAACGCUGCAAAUGUGUUCCACCAGGCACCUACGGUAACAAGGAGAUGUGCGGCAAGUGCUACACUGAUAUGACAACCCACGGCAACCGCCCCAAGUGCCCUUGAAGCUUUCCAAACU